CGGGGCUCCGCUCCCCGGAGCCGGGCCGUGGGUGGCCUGCCCUCCUUUGCCCUCCGGGGCCUCUCCUCCGGCCUGCCCUGCGCGCUUCCCGGGCCGCGUCCGCCCUCGGCGGGGACCUCGGCGGAGACCUCGCUGCACUUCGCAGUGAAGUCGAAGGUUGUCUGCAGAUCAUUGUGGGACGUAAACUUACUGGACAGAAACCUAAACUGAAAACGUUUUACUGACAAUAAAGGUUCAUCAAGCACAGCCUUGAAAAUGACCAAGAUUUGAAUCAGAGCUAGGAGGAACGUUGCUACCCAGUUUGUGUCUCCCUCUGGGCCUGUACUUAAACUAUCAAAACAUG